AUGAAGAGAAAGAGGACUCUGCAUAGUUGGUUUGCAAGUAGUUCAAAUACACUUCCUAUUAUUCCUGAAUCCAAUGUUGCCCCAAUUAAUGUUAUUGUUCAGCCUACCCUCAUAGAGAACAUAAUCCCUGAUGAUCCAACAAAUGAGAGCACUAAUCCCUCGGUUGAUGAGAGAACUAAUCCCUCGGUUGAUGAGAGCACCAAUCCCACUUCAAAUGAGAGAACCAAUCCCCAACCGAUGAGAGCACAAACCAACCAGCACCACCAACACAAUAUAUAUUGGAAUUUCAUCCAAGAAAAAUCGCAAAGGACAUUUGCCUCCUGA
rnacentral:rRNA from 1 species